rnacentral:rRNA from 1 species
CUAGCGGCAGGCUUAUACAUGCAAGUCGAACGGUAACAGGUCCGGCAACGGAUGCUGACGAGUGGCGCACGGGUGCGUAACACGUAUGCAACCUACCCUUAACCGGGACAUAACCCUUAGAAAUGAGGGCUAAUAUCCCAUGGUAUUAUUUUGAGGCAUCUCAAAAUAGUUAAAGAUUUAUCGGUUAAGGAUGGGCAUGCGUCCCAUUAGUUAGUUGGUGAGGUAACGGCUCACCAAGACUGUGAUGGGUAGGGGUCCUGAGAGGGUUCACCCCCACACUGGUACUGAGACACGGACCAGACUCCUACGGGAGGCAGCAGUAAGGAAUAUUGGGCAAUGGGCGCAAGCCUGACCCAGCCAUGCCGCGUGCAGGAGGACGGCCCUAUGGGUUGUAAACUGCUUUUAUACGGGAAUAAUCCUAUCGACGGGUUCGGUAGUUGCAAGUACCGUAUGAAUAAGCAUCGGCUAACUCCGUGCCAGCAGCCGCGGUAAUACGGAGGAUGCGAGCGUUAUCCGGAUUUAUUGGGUUUAAAGGGUGCGUAGGCUGAUACUUAAGUCAGUGGUGAAAUUUUCCGGCUUAACCGGGAGGCUGCCGUUGAUACUGGGUAUCUUGAGUUUAGUUGAUGUGGGCGGAAUGUGUCAUGUAGCGGUGAAAUGCAUAGAGAUGACACAGAACACCGAUAGCGAAGGCAGCUCACAAAGCUAUAACUGACGCUGAGGCACGAAAGCGUGGGGA